UACGGAGGGGACUAGCGUUGUUCGGAAUUACUGGGCGUAAAGCGCACGUAGGCGGAUUUGUAAGUCAGGGGUGAAAUCCCGAGGCUCAACCUCGGAACUGCCUUUGAUACUGCAUCGCUAGAAUUGUGGAGAGGUAAGUGGAAUUCCGAGUGUAGAGGUGAAAUUCGUAGAUAUUCGGAAGAACACCAGUGGCGAAGGCGACUUACUGGACACAUAUUGACGCUGAGGUGCGAAAGCGUGGGGAGCAAACAGG
rnacentral:rRNA from 1 species